AGAGUUUGAUCCUGGCUCGGGACGAACGCUGGCGGCGUGCCUAACACAUGCAAGUCGAACGGAACUGUUUUGAAAGAUUUCUUCGGAAUGAAUUUGAUUUAGUUUAGUGGCGGACGGGUGAGUAACGCGUGAGUAACCUGCCUUCAAGAGGGGGAUAACAUUCUGAAAAGAAUGCUAAUACCGCAUGACAUAUCGGAACCACAUGGUUUUGAUAUCAAAGAUUUUAUCGCUUGAAGAUGGACUCGCGUCCGAUUAGUUAGUUGGUGAGGUAACGGCUCACCAAGACCGCGAUCGGUAGCCGGACUGAGAGGUUGAACGGCCACAUUGGGACUGAGACACGGCCCAGACUCCUACGGGAGGCAGCAGUGGGGGAUAUUGCGCAAUGGGGGCAACCCUGACGCAGCAACGCCGCGUGAAGGAUGAAGGUUUUCGGAUUGUAAACUUCUUUUAUUAAGGACGAAACUUGACGGUACUUAAUGAAUAAGCUCCGGCUAACUACGUGCCAGCAGCCGCGGUAAUACGUAGGGAGCAAGCGCUGUCCGGAUUUACUGGGUGUAAAGGGUGCGUAGGCGGCUUUGCAAGUCAGAUGUGAAAUCUAUGGGCUCAACCCAUAAACUGCAUUUGAAACUGUAGAGCUUGAGUGAAGUAGAGGCAGGCGGAAUUCCCCGUGUAGCGGUGAAAUGCGUAGAGAUGGGGAGGAACACCAGUGGCGAAGGCGGCCUGCUGGGCUUUAACUGACGCUGAGGCACGAAAGCGUGGGUAGCAAACAGGAUUAGAUACCCUGGUAGUCCACGCUGUAAACGAUGAUUACUAGGUGUGGGGGGUCUGACCCCUUCCGUGCCGGAGUUAACACAAUAAGUAAUCCACCUGGGGAGUACGGCCGCAAGGUUGA
rnacentral:rRNA from 1 species